rnacentral:rRNA from 1 species
UACGGAGGAUCCGAGCGUUAUCCGGAUUUAUUGGGUUUAAAGGGUGCGUAGGUGGAUUGGUAAGUCAGUGGUGAAAGUUUGCAGCUUAACUGUAAAAUUGCCGUUGAAACUGUCGGUCUUGAGUGCAAAUGAGGUAGGCGGAAUGCGUCGUGUAGCGGUGAAAUGCUUAGAUAUGACGCAGAACUCCGAUUGCGAAGGCAGCUUACUGGGAUGCAACUGACGCUGAGGCACGAAAGCGUGGGUAUCAAGCAGGAUUAGA